rnacentral:rRNA from 1 species
AACGAACGCUGGCGGCAGGCUUAACACAUGCAAGUCGAACGCCCCGCCAGGGGAGUGGCCGACGGGUGAGUAACGCGUGGGAAUCUACCCAUCCCUACGGAAUAACGCAUGGAAACGUGUGCUAAUACCGUAUACGCCCUACGGGGGAAAGAUUUAUCGGGGAUGGAUGAGCCCGCGUUGGAUUAGCUAGUUGGUGGGGUAAAGGCCUACCAAGGCGACGAUCCAUAGCUGGUCUGAGAGGAUGAUCAGCCACAUUGGGACUGAGACACGGCCCAAACUCCUACGGGAAGCAGCAGUGGGGAAUAUUGGACAAUGGGCGCAAGCCUGAUCCAGCCAUGCCGCGUGAGUGAUGAAGGCCUUAGGGUUGUAAAGCUCUUUCACCGGAGAAGAUAAUGACGGUAUCCGGAGAAGAAGCCCCGGCUAACUUCGUG